rnacentral:rRNA from 1 species
AAGUCGUAACAAGGUUUCCGUAGGUGAACCUGCGGAAGGAUCAUUAUUGAGUUUAUUUGAAACGGGUUGAUUGCUGGCCUUCCGAGGCAUGUGCACGCCCUGCUCAUCCAACUUACACCUGUGCACCUUUGAGGCGUCGCCCUCCUUGUUUCCACGAGGAGCAGUUCCCUUUCUUUGUUGAAGGGUUGAACCGGGGCUCCGCCUUUCUUUAUCUCACACUACAAGUCAUCAUAGAACGUCUUUUGCCGUAAAACGCAAUUAAAAUACAACUUUCAACAACGGAUCUCUUGGCUCUCGCAUCGAUGAAGAACGCAGCGAAAUGCGAUAAGUAAUGUGAAUUGCAGAAUUCAGUGAAUCAUCGAAUCUUUGAACGCACCUUGCGCUCCUUGGUAUUCCGAGGAGCAUGCCUGUUUGAGUGUCAUGAAAUUCUCAACCUCGACGUUUGCNCGUUGUAGGCUUGGACUUGGAGGUUUUUGCUGGCGCUUUGUUGCCGGCUCCUCUCUAAAUGCAUUAGCUGGAACCGUCGCGAAAUCGGUCAAUCGGUGUGAUACAUUAUCUACGCCGUGGNNUCAGUAGCGUCCAUCGGAUCCGCUUCCAAUCGUCUUCGGACAAUCCAAUUUUNANAUCUGGCNUCAAAUCAGGUAGGACUACCCGCUGAACUUAAGCAUAUCAAUAAGCGGAGGAAAAGNAACUAACAAGGAUUCCCCUAGUAACGGCGAGUGAAGCGGGNAAAGCUCAAAUUUAAAAUCUGGCGGUCUUUGACUGUCCGAGUUGUAGUCUGGAGAAGCNUCUUCCGUGCUGGACCGUGUACAAGUCUCUUGGAACAGAGCGUCAUAGAGGGUGAGAAUCCCGUCUUUGACACGGACUACCAGUGCUAUGUGAUGCGCUCUCAAAGAGUCGAGUUGUUUGGGAAUGCAGCUCAAAAUGGGUGGUAAAUUCCAUCUAAAGCUAAAUAUUGGCGAGAGACCGAUAGCGAACAAGUACCGUGAGGGAAAGAUGAAAAGCACUUUGGAAAGAGAGUUAAACAGUACGUGAAAUUGUUGAAAGGGAAACGAUUGAAGUCAGUCGCGUUGUCCGGGACUCAGCCUUGCUUCUGCUUGGUGUAUUUCCUGGUUGACGGGCCAGCAUCGAUUUUGACCGCUGGAUAAAGUUCAGAGGAAUGUGGCACCUCCGGGUGUGUUAUAGCCUUUGUUCGCAUACGGCGGUUGGGAUCGAGGAACGCAGCACGCCUUUAUUGGCCGGGGUUCGCCCACGUAACGUGCUUAGGAUGCUGCAUAAUGGCUUUAAACGACC